rnacentral:sRNA from 1 species
GCCAGGUGUGGUGGUGCAUGCCUGUAAUCCCAGCAGCUCAGGAGGCUUAGGCAGGAGGAUCAUGAGUUCAGAGCAUCCUCAGCUACUUAGUGAGGACCUAAGCAACUCAGUGAGACUCCCUGUCUGUA